GCAGGUAUGGCGAAACUGGUAGACGCGUAUGAUUUAGGAUCAUGUAACUAAUACUUGUGCAGGUUCAAGUCCUGCUACCUGCA
rnacentral:tRNA from 1 species